UACGUAGGUGGCGAGCGUUAUCCGGAUUUACUGGGUGUAAAGGGCGUGUAGGCGGGUUUGCAAGUCGGGUGUGAAAUAUCCAGGCUUAACUUGGAUGGGUCAUCCGAAACUGCAGAUCUUGAGUGCUGGAGAGGAUAGUGGAAUUACUGGUGUAACGGUAAAAUGCGUAGAUAUCAGGAGGAACACCAGUGGCGAAGGCGGCUAUCUGGACAGUAACUGACGCUGAGGCGCGAAAGCGUGGGUAGCAAACAGGAUUAGAUACCCU
rnacentral:rRNA from 1 species